CGGUUCGAGUCCGCUUACCUCCACUGAUUACCACCUCUUCCAUAAUCGGUAGAAAGGAAAUUUUUUGAGUUGUGAUCAAAUUCUGAAAGAAUCUAGCUUCCUAAUGAAAUCGUUAAGAUGCUGGACUCAUUGAAUUAAUUUCAUUGUUUUCAGA
rnacentral:misc_RNA from 1 species